GCAUCAAUCGUCAGAUGAUCUUGAUAACCACACGAGGCACCUCAGGCUCUAUAAAUGUACUGCAAGUGGGGUUCGGUCAGAGGUGAGAUGCGUAUGGAGAUGUGGGCCAAAGGGGGUUCGGUCGGAGGUGAGAUGCACAAAGGCGACGUCGGCUGAAGGGGACAUGCACGGACAUCUCUGGAGAGAGGAGGGAUGCGUGAAGGUCGAUCAAGAGAGCGC
rnacentral:lncRNA from 1 species